AAUUUUUUGGAAACAAAAAAGUGCCUUCGGGAGCCCAGUGACAGGUGCUGCAUGGCUGU
rnacentral:rRNA from 1 species